rnacentral:rRNA from 1 species
ACGGCUCAGUAACACGUGGAUAACCUGCCCUUGGGACCGGGAUAACCCUGGGAAACUGGGGAUAAACCCGGAUAGGUGAAUAUUCCUGGAAUGGUGCUUCGCCCAAACGCCUCCUGGUGCCCAAGGAUGGGUCUGCGGCCGAUUAUGUAGUUGGUAGGGUAACGGCCUACCAAGCCCAUCAUCGGUACGGGUUGUGAAAGCAAAAGCCCGGAAAUGGAACCUGAAACAAGGUUCCAGGCCCUACGGGGCGCACCAGGCGCGAAACCUCCGCAAUGCACGCAAGUGCGACGGGGGAACCCCAAGUGCCACUCUUAACGGGGUGGCUUUUCAAAAGUGUAAAAAGCUUCUGGAAUAAGGGCUGGGCAAGACCGGUGCCAGCCGCCGCGGUAACACCGGCAGCUCAAGUGGUAGCCGCUUUUAUUGGGCCUAAAGCGUCCGUAGCCGGUCUGAUAAGUCUCUGGUGAAAUCCCACAGCUUAACUGUGGGAAUUGCUGGAGAUACUAUCAUGACUCGAGGUCGGGAGAGGCUGGAGGUACUCCCAGGGUAGGGGUGAAAUCCUGUAAUCCUGGGAGGACCACCUGUGGCGAAGGCGUCCAGCUGGAACGAACCUGACGGUGAGGGACGAAAGCCAGG